rnacentral:rRNA from 1 species
UACGUAGGGGGCUAGCGUUGUCCGGAAUCAUUGGGCGUAAAGAGCGUGUAGGCGGUCCGGUAAGUCCGCUGUGAAAGUCGGGGGCUCAACCCUCGAAUGCCGGUGGAUACUGUCGGGCUAGAGUGCGGAAGAGGCGAGUGGAAUUCCUGGUGUAGCGGUGAAAUGCGCAGAUAUCAGGAGGAACACCGGUGGCGAAGGCGGAUCUCUGGGCCUUACCUGACGCUCAGGCGCGAAAGCUAGGGGAGCGAACAGG